CCUACGGGAGGCAGCAGUAGGGAAUCUUCCGCAAUGGACGAAAGUCUGACGGAGCAACGCCGCGUGAGUGAAGAAGGUUUUCGGAUCGUAAAACUCUGUUGUCAGAGAAGAACAAGUCGGAGAGUAACUGCUCUGGCCUUGACGGUAUCUGACCAGAAAGCCACGGCUAACUACGUGCCAGCAGCCGCGGUAAUA
rnacentral:rRNA from 1 species